rnacentral:rRNA from 1 species
CAGCAGCCGCGGUAAUACGUAGGUGGCAAGCGUUAUCCGGAAUUAUUGGGCGUAAAGCGCGCGCAGGUGGUUUCUUAAGUCUCGAUGUGAAAGCCCACGGCUCAACCGUGGAGGGUCAUUGGAAACUGGGAGACUUGAGUCCAGAAGAGGAAAGUGGAAUUCCAUGUGUAGCGGUGAUAUGCGUAGAGAUAUGGAGGAACACCAGUGGCGAAGCGACUUUCUGGUCUGUAACUGACACUGAGGCGCGAAAGCGUGGGGAGCAAACAGGAUUAGAUACCCUGGUAGUCCACGCCGUAAACGAUGAGUGCUAAGUGUUAGAGGGUUUCCGCCCUUUAGUGCUGAAGUUAACGCAUUUAAGCACUCCGCCUGGGGAGUACGGCCGCAAGGCUGAAACUCAAAGGAAUUGACGGG